UUUGUAGGUGGCCUGCUAAGUCAGACGUGAAAUCCCUCAGCUUGACUGGGGAACUGCGUCUGAUACUGGCGUGCUUGAGGACUGGAGAGGAGACUGGAAUUUACGGUGUAGCAGUGAAAUGCGUAGAUAUCGUAAGGAAGACCAGUGGCGAAGGCGGGUCUCUGGACAGUUCCUGACACUGAGACACGAAGGCCAGGGGAGCAAACG
rnacentral:rRNA from 1 species